UACGGAGGUGGCAAGCGUUGCUCGGAAUCACUGGGCGUAAGGGCGCGUAGGCGGGGAGGGAAGUCGGGUGUGAAAUCCCUCGGCCCAACCGAGGAACUGCGCCCGAGACUGCUUCUCUUGAGUCCCGGAGAGGAAGAUGGAAUUCCCGGUGUAGCGGUGAAAUGUGUAGAGAUCGGGAGGAACACCGGUGGCGAAGGCGGUCUUCUGGACGGUGACUGACGCUGAGGCGCGAAAGCGUGGGGAGCAAACGGG
rnacentral:rRNA from 1 species